rnacentral:rRNA from 1 species
UACGAAGGGGGCUAGCGUUGUUCGGAUUUACUGGGCGUAAAGCGCACGUAGGCGGUUUGUUAAGUGAGAGGUGAAAUCCCAGAGCUCAACUCUGGAACUGCCUUUGAUACUGGGUAUCUUGAGUAUGGAAGAGGUAAGUGGAAUUGCGAGUGUAGAGGUGAAAUUCGUAGAUAUUCGCAGGAACACCAGUGGCGAAGGCGGCUUACUGGUCCAUAACUGACGCUGAGGUGCGAAAGCGUGGGGAGCAAACAGG